GAUGAACGCUGACAGAAUGCUUAACACAUGCAAGUCAUUGGCGAAGCUGCGCUUGCGCAGUCUAGCCAAGGCGGACGGGUGAGUAACGCGUAAGGAACUUGCCCUGCAGACAGGGAUAACAGACGGAAACGACUGAUAACACCUGGUAUUGUCAGGCUGGCGCAUGCCGGCCUGAUGAAAGGAGACACUGCAGGAGAGCCUUGCGUCCUAUUAGCUAGUUGGUGGGGUAACGGCACACCAAGGCGAUGAUAGGUAGCCGGCCUGAGAGGGUGAACGGCCACAAGGGGACUGAGAUACGGCCCUUACUCCUACGGGAGGCAGCAGUGGGGAAUAUUGGACAAUGGGGGCAACCCUGAUCCAGCAAUUCUGUGUGCACGAAGAAGGUUUUCGGAUUGUAAAGUGCUUUCAGCAGGGAAGAAGAAAGUGACGGUACCUGCAGAAGAAGCGACGGCUAAAUACGUG
rnacentral:rRNA from 1 species